GAUGAAGAACGUAGCGAAAUGCGAUAAGUAAUGUGAAUUGCAGAAUUCAGUGAAUCAUCGAAUCUUUGAACGCACAUUGCGCCCGCCAGUAUUCUGGCGGGCAUGCCUGUUUGAGCGUCAUUUCAACCAUCAAGCCCCCGGCUUGUGUUGGGGACCUGCGGCUGCCGCAGGCCCUGAAAACCAGUGGCGGGCUCGCUAGUCACUCCGAGCGUAGUAAUACAUCUCGCUCAGGGCGUGCUGCGGGUUCCGGUCGUUAAAAGCCUUAUUUACCCAAGGUUGACCUCGGAUCAGGUAGGAAGACCCGCUGAACUUAAGCAUAUCAAUAAGCGGAGA
rnacentral:misc_RNA from 1 species